CGCUUCGGUGACGUCGGCGGCUAAAGAACCAACAAGAACUCGGGGAGAAAGCACCCCGCCAAGCCCCACCCCUCCCGCCCGCGAUCUCGCUCACUCGGGCGGGUGAACCGUGUCGAACCGGCUGGAUUUCCCCGCCGCCCAGGCCCCACGCUCAGCGCAGGGCAACGCAUCAACGCCCCACCACAACCGCAGACAUGAGACGGCCCCCGCCGGGACGGCAAUCCCAGGGCGAGGGCCUGACCACCGAGGAAGAUAAGGGCUUCCCG
rnacentral:ncRNA from 1 species